rnacentral:rRNA from 1 species
GACGAACGCUGGCGGCGUGCUUAACACAUGCAAGUCGAGCGGGAUCCAACCGGUGGCAACACCGGGGAAGAUCUAGCGGCGAACGGGUGAGUAACACGUGAGCAACCUGCCCCGAAGACUGGGAUAACACCGGGAAACCGGUGCUAAUACCGGAUGUCGUCAUUAGGCCGCAUGACCUGAUGAUGAAAGGAUUCAUCGCUUCGGGAGGGGCUCGCGGGCUAUCAGCUUGNGGUGGGGUAACGGCCUACCAAGGCGACGACGGCUAGCUGGUCUGAGAGGACGACCAGCCACACUGGGACUGAGACAGGCCCAGACUCCUACGGGAGGCAGCAGUGGGGAAUCUUGCGCAAUGGGCGAAAGCCUGACGCAGCAACGCCGCGUGGGGGAUGAAUGCC